rnacentral:misc_RNA from 1 species
GUUGAACAAUUGAUAUAAAGUGAUGCAGAAUUACUUCUGAUGGAAGCAAAUUACCCAACAUACCUCAUCUCCGAUAAUAGCAGCUACAAUCGGGGGUCCAAUGAAUCCAGAAGUGCAUCCAAGAGUAUUCAUAACUCCGUAUAAGAAUCCCGCAAAGUUGGGAGAGAGGUCUUGAUUGUUAGAAAGAUUAGCAAUCACGGCUGCACCAUUGAAUCCUAAGCUCAAUACGAGGAAUAGGUUUGCAAGGACAAAGUUGCAACCAGCAUAACUCACACCAAUCAAGAACAAUCCUGGAAUUAAUAUCACCAAUCCAACUAAAGAGAAAACCAAACACCAUUCGCCCAGCCCAUGGAAGAGAUGCGAGUGCUCCACCUUUGGGUGUUCGUCAGGUGAAUCAUAUGCUAUUAUUGCCCAAAAUGCGACCCAAACAAACAUCAACAAAGACGGGAGAUACCAUGCCGUUUGCCAGUUAAUUGAAUCUGCGAUAGCAGCAACCAUUGGAUACGUGAUUAUUGUACCAAAUGUGCCACCCAAGAGAGACCAUACGAAUCUACUUUUCUCAUCUGGAGGUGCCCAUUUAGCUACCAUGGUGUGGCAAGCUGGAAAUGUAACUCCGCCAGCAAAGCCUAUUAUCACUCUUGAGAUACAAAGAAUACUCCAAUGCAUCUGGGCUAAUAUCGGACUGAUUAAAGACAACAUCGCAGCUAUCAAUGAGGUCCAUAGAAUAGACUUUUUAGGCCCCCACUUUAUAGCAACUAAUCCACCUAUAAAAUUUCCUGGAGCAUUUCCAUACCCAUACGAAGAUAGCAACUGAGCUUGAACUUGUGCAUCCCAUUCGAAUGUCUUCUUUGAAAACAAAGAAAAUCCUUCCUCAUCACCUCUUGUUUGAUUCAAAAUCUCAACAUCACGCUUUUGACGUAUAUCUUUGAAAUGUAAUCGUGUCUCAUUUAUAUUAGAUUCAGUUUGUGAAAUAUACUCUGACGCUUCCCUUUCGUAAAUCCAAUGAUUAUAAAUAUUUUCAGGGUCAUACCAAAUGGCUCUUUGGCUUCUAGUAGCUUGAAUGGGCUCAGCUGUAUCGCAAUAACCAGCUUUAGUCAUACCAUUUUUUGAAGCUGUCAUGGGAACUACAAGAAUGGGCAUCUGGAGACGGCACAUGUAUGACGUCCAACAUGCCGUAAACAUCAUCAUGCAGAUCAGAAACCUCGUGGGAAUACAUUCUGCAAAAUUGCAUUUAUGUAAAAGAGAUACUGAACUAUCCGAUCCAUCCACACUUAAUCCCUAAUCACUUUAUCGCGAAUAUAUGAUGAACCCAAGUGACUCCACAUGGAUUUAUCGACGGAAAAUCACUAAAUACAAGAAAAAAAAAGAAACAUGUGU